rnacentral:rRNA from 1 species
CCUACGGGUGGCAACAGUGAGGAAUAUUGGUCAAUGGCCGAGAGUCUGAACCAGCCAAGUAGCGUGAAGGAUAACUGCCCACUGGGUUGUAAACUUCUUUUAUAUGGGAAUAAAAUGUUCCACGUUGGGGAUUUAGUAUGUACCAUAUGAAUAAGGAUCGGCUACCUCCGUGCCAGCAGCCGCGGUAUUACGGGGGAGCCGAGCAUUAUCCGGAUUUAUUGGGUUUAAAGGGUGCGUAGGUGGUGGGUUAAGUCAGUUGUGAAAGUUUGCGGCUCAACGGGAAAAUUGCCGUUGAAACUGGCAGUCUUGAGUACAGUAGAGGUGAGCGGAAUGCGUGGUGUAGCGGUGAAAUGCUUAGAUAUCACGAAGAACUCCGAUUGCGAAGGCAGUUCACUGGACUGCAACUGACGCUGAGGCUCGAAAGUGUGGGUAUCAAACAGGAGUAGAUACCCUUGUAGUC